GCUGGGUUCAGGGAUGAAUGCCUGUAGUCCCAGCUACUCAGGAGACUGAGGUGGAAGAAUCACUUGAAUCCGGGAGUUCUGGGCUGUAGUGCACUAUGCCAAUUGGGUGACUACAGUAAGUUUGGUGUCAAUAUGGUGACCUCCCAGGGAGCGGGAGACCACCACCAGGUUGCCUAAGGAGAGGUGAACCGGCCCAGGUUGGAAACUGAGUAGGUAAAAUUCUUGUGCUGAUCAGUAGUGGGAUCACACCUGUGAAUAGCCACUGCACUCCAGACGGGCAACAUACUGAGACCCCUGUCUCA
ensembl:misc_RNA RN7SL70P RNA, 7SL, cytoplasmic 70, pseudogene